GAAGAAAAAAAAAGAUACAUAUAUUUAGAUGUUUCCCACAUGCACUAGAUAGCCAUGCACAUCACCUUUGACAGGAGCCCAAACCACUAACAGCACAUGUGAGAUACGCAAACAUGACAUUCCUAAAUGAGUUGCUCACAUUCAUAAGUGGAAGAAUUUUUGCCUAGUUACAUAAAGGUGGGCAAAAAAAAUCUUUUGGCUUUUCCAGACUCGACUUUUUAUGCAUGGAAGCAUCUAGCCUCAGAUGCACUGGAAGCUGGAAGUGUAAGCUCUGGUCUUGAGAGCUGCUCAGGAAGACACUUGCCUUCCAGAGAGUUGCCUCUGGAGAGCAGCUCAGUGUAAGACACACCAGAAGUGUUCAUGGAACAGAAAUUACCAUGAAAAGACAGAAAUAAACAUGAUUAUUUUCUUCUCUCCCUGCCUUUUUAAAGACCUAAGCACCAUUUUGCAAUUUUCUGGUUAAAGUUGCUAGUUAACACAUACCUUUAUGCCCACUGUGAAGUGUUAACAGCACUGAGAGCUCAGCAGGGUAUUCAGAUCCCAAGGAGAUGGGAUUACUCUUCAGACACCACAAAAUCCAAAUGCAACCAGUUACUCCAACACAGUCUCAGCAAAAACUUUAGUACAUGAACUAAACCAGUAUGCAUCACCAAUAUCUCCUCCAAACAUUUGCUGGCUAUCUCCAGUGUUGCACAGCUAUCUUUCAUUUGUGUAUUACUUUAAUUAGAGGUGCACCAGGCCUCUGGUCAUGCCUUCAUAUAGAUGUGUGAAAUCCUGACCCCAGGAAAUUAGUGGCAAAGCUCUCACUGACUGUCAGCAUAAUAUCAUCCAAAACACUUUUAUCUACAGCAACAAAGAAGUUGCUGCAAAGUCUCUGUAAAGUCCUGACGAGGGGCAGGAGGUGUUGCAAGCAGCAAAUUUGCCAUCACAGGAACAGCAAAGCUUUAGCAAGCAAGGAUGCUGCCAUGGCUCUCAGGUCUGGGUAACUGCAAGUCAGAGUAACUGUAUUAAAAAAUCCGAAUCAAUCCCCCCUGAACUAUGCAUUUGGUCACUUCCUGGGGAUUUUACUUCUUACAGUAAGGUAAAUAAAGUACAGUGCAAAUCCAGAUUUUUGAGGCUUUAGUCACAGCCAGCAACAUGAUUUGAUACUGCAUAUCACACCAUCAUGCCUGCAAGGAAAGGAAAUUGCUAGGGACUCAAAAGAAGCAUACCAUCUCCAGCUCUUCUUUAGUUACCACAGGGUUGCUCGAAGAUUUCAAGAAAGACAGCUACCUUCAUAAUAAACAUCCUCAAAAGUUCCUAAGAACAGUACUUGUAGGGGAAUACUAGCCACAACCAUUACCACAAGACCUGGACAAAACCACAAGCAGUUUUAGGAAAUGGCAGCAAAGAUUCUCAGGGCAGGCCAUCAGUGAGCACCUGGUACACCAGGCACUCUCACAUUGCCAUCCUCACCGAUAAUUAUUCUUUCAGCAAGCACACAGAUAAUAAAUUAUGUGCGUAAGCAUCAGGUGUUGCCACCAGUGCCCCAUUUCAAUAUCAACAGAAUCUACCGAUUUAUGCAAGUCUCAGUUUCCCAGCAUACAUCCAGAAGGAUGCACUGUGCAGACUUAUCAACAGGCCCUUCAUUAAUACAACAAAAAGCUCUGCAAUUUGGCCCUGAAGCAAACACAUAUUUACUCAGAAGGAAAAAGCAACUAUUUACAUUUCAAAAGACAUCUUCUGUGUUCAGGUUAGUUCGACUGUUUGCAUCCAAGAACUACUAUUCAAUAUUGCCUCAGUUGCGAAGGGCUCCCACAGUUCUGCCUUGCCAUGCUGUCAGCAGUGAUUGAUCCCAGAGAAAGUCCCAUUUCAGAAGAAAAAAAAGCCAACCAGACAGAAAGCAGGCAGUGGAGCAGCACAGCUCAGGCACAUAUUAAGAAAGUCUUCACCUCAGUGCAAAGGUGCAAAGGGAUGAGCCACUCAUUAAGGUGAUUACAAAAGGAAAACAUGCCAAAACUCAGGCAGAGCAAAUGAACCCAAGUGCAUUCCAGCUAAUCCCAGACACAGUCAGCAGUAUGUCCCACUCACAUAGGCAACACGAUUCUACCAUCUACCUUUUGGUUUGGGCAAAGCCCAAAGCAUUCAGCUCUGCCGCUGCUCAGUGAGGAUAAGCUGCUGCCUCCAAGAAUUCCUCUCAGAGUUAGCAAAUGAAGUACAAAACAAAUCUUCAGACUGGGUUUCCCAGCCACUUCUCAUAUGUUUUUCCAAUUUCCACUCAAAUUUGUUGCACUGCCCAGCCAGUCCAUGGAAUCCCUGCUCGAGCUGUCCUUCCUCACCCCAGGGCUGGCACAAGUGGAGGAACAUCCCUCUCACAUAACAGCACUAACAGUCAAACUUUUAGAGAAGCACUCUUUCCACGCAGCUCUCCCCUUGGCGGACCAGAACUCCUCCAUGCUGUAAUCCUCCCUUCCUGUUCUACCUGUAAUUUGCGGGUUACACAUCAGCUUCAGACCACCUGUCCAGAGCCCAGAAAGCACACUAGAGAUAAAAUCCUGGCUCUGAAGCAUUCCCUGUGCUCACUGCAACAGACCAAUCCAUGACUCUCCAUAAACCCAGAUUUUGUGUCUUACCAAAAAAACUCACAUACACCUUUGUAAAAAGAAAAAACAUUUUAAGAUCAUUACUCCAGAGAGCAACAAGCAAGCCACAGUACUAGAAAGCAUCUCAGGUCAUAGAGUGUGCUGCAAGCCUUCGCUUCUUCCCUGUCCUUGGACACAAGCAAGUCCCAACACUGACACUAGGAGAGAAGCUGCUGUUCUCUGGCAAGGGCUCAGGUCAGAACACAGCACCAGCUGCACACAUCUCAUAUUAUGCCUGCCACAGCUCCGACUCUGGCAGUGAGCUAUCAGCCCUACCCACACAGUUUCUCUUGCAGAGAACACCAGCACUGCAAAUCAAGAGCAUCUACAGGAACACUGCUCAUUCAUUCUUUCUGCACCUCCAAUUCCCUCCUGAAGCAAAGCAUUGGUGUGGGGCAGAUCAACUCAAACACACACACCACUGCACGGGGUGAGGCAGUGAGGCAGCAGGUGACCGUUUUUUACCAGGUGACCUGAUCCUUUCAGUUUUCAGGCAGUGGGAACAAAACAGAGAGCAAAUAACCCAAAGCCUUGCUCUGGAUUCUGCCUAAAGCAAAAUCUGAAUGGCACGACAGGGGUCUGGAAAAGCCCAGGCAGGGCUGUUUUCUUUUUUUUUUUUUUGGUUUUUUUUUUCUCCUUUCUAAAACACAAAACUAACAGCAUUUACCAUGAAAACAAUUGAACUGGAUCACUGGAAAUUCUCUAUGAAACAAGCAAGUACCACUGCUCUCACACAAGUUGUUCAAUUCUGGUUGCCCCUACCACAAUCGGAUGCUUCAAAAUUACACGUUAAAAGAAACAAAAGUUUGAGCACAUCCCUUAGUUAAAGAGAUCCCCCCACAUUUUUUAAAUGGAUGUAUAACUUUAUGUUUAAAUACUGAAAUAAGAUGACGUAAGUUUUACAUAGGCCUCCAAAGUACAGGCCUCCAAAGUCUUAGCAGUGGCAAAGUAGCUGGAUGAGCUAACCUUUUGCACUUGUAAGAAGUCCACAGAUCACAGCUGAGAACAAGCUCAUUUCUAAGGAGCUUGGAUUCACUAUCCUGGGACCUCCUCUUCCAUAGGAAUAGCUUUAAGGAUACAUACAUCAUUGACUUGUGGUUUAAAAAUAAUUUAAUCCAAUUUGAGAUUAACCACAGAGUAACUCAUCCCUCGAGUGGAAUAACAAGGGAAAUAGAAACAAAGAAGUUACAGAGGCUUUGGGCUUGUUGCCCCCUAGAAGUCACCACCUACUAAAAGGGAGUCUGUCUGUACAACAUCCAGCAGAGAGAGCACUCCAUGAAGUUUUAAAUAUCUGAAGGAAUUGAAAUAGACUGGAAAGCAGUGAAGUCAUCCCAGCCUGAGGGCAGUGAGUGGAUUUUGAGCCAUGUAAUUGUGUGCCAUCUGGCCAAGCCCAGACAGGAGAGCUGAUAAAGACUAGGAAUGGAAUGCAGGUCAAUUAGUGACUUAGUUCUGUCCAAAGAGCUCUGAAGACUUCUUAAAAUCAUAAAUAAAAAUAACAAAAAAAAAAAAAA